GACGAACCGUGCGAACGUUGUUCGGAAUUACUGGGCGUAAAGGGCGCGUAGGCGGCCGCCUAAGUCAGACGUGAAAUCCCCAGGCUUAACUUGGGAACUGCGUCUGAUACUGGGUGGCUUGAGUUCGGGAGAGGAAUGUGGAAUUCCAGGUGUAGCGGUGAAAUGCGUAGAUAUCUGGAGGAACACCGGUGGCGAAGGCGGCAUUCUGGACCGAAACUGACGCUGAGGCGCGAAAGCCAGGGGAGCAAACGGG
rnacentral:rRNA from 1 species